rnacentral:lncRNA from 1 species
CAAACACAAUAAAUUUUAGGGCAAAAUUCAAAUACCACCCCUGUAGUUUCGCACUUUCUUACUUUAAUACUCUGUAGUUUAAAGUGUAUCAAUUUAGUACUCUAUGGUUUCAUUUUUUCUUUUUGUCAGUUCUUCCGUUAAUAUUUUGUUAAAUUAUAUAUACAAAAAACUUCAGAUAUUGCAUUUAGGUUUAUCGAAUAUUCACUUUAGUGCUCUUUAGCUUUAACUUUGUCAGUAAUUUACCGAAAAAAAUUAGUUAAAUGGAUAAUAAAAAAAAGAAAAAUGAAACCACAGUGUACUAAAUUAAUGCAUUUUAAACCACAAAAUAUUAAAGUAAAAAAGUGCGAAACCGCAUGGGUGGUAUUUGAAAUUUAAUUUUCCUAAAUUUUAUAUGGAUUUGC